CCGGUCACGUCAUUGGGGAGUAGCCUGUUCUGUUAUUAACCUCUCAGGAAAAUAACAGAAAAUCCGUAUCAACAUACUUGCGUGAUAUUAUAUCAGCAUGGUGCGGAUGCCGUUUCGGUUGGCAAGACCAUAGACACGCAGUUCACCGGAGGUCGGGGU
rnacentral:sRNA from 2 species